rnacentral:rRNA from 1 species
UACGUAGGGUGCAAGCGUUGUCCGGAAUUAUUGGGCGUAAAGAGCUCGUAGGCGGUCUGUCGCGUCGGCUGUGAAAACCUGGGGCUCAACUCCGGGCCUGCAGCCGAUACGGGCAGACUAGAAUUCGGUAGGGGAGACUGGAAUUCCAGGUGUAGCGGUGAAAUGCGUAGAUAUCUGGAGGAACACCGGUGGCGAAGGCGGCAUCCUGGACCAACACUGACGCUGAGGAGCGAAAGCCAGGGGAGCAAAGC